rnacentral:rRNA from 1 species
UACGUAGGGCGCAAGCGUUGUCCGGAAUUAUUGGGCGUAAAGAGCUCGUAGGCGGCCUGUCGCGUCUGCUGUGAAAUCCCGGGGCUUAACCCCGGGCGUGCAGUGGAUACGGGCUGGCUGGAGGCAGGCAGGGGAGAAUGGAAUUCCCGGUGUAGCGGUGAAAUGCGCAGAUACCGGGAGGAACACCGGUGGCGAAGGCGGUUCUCUGGGCCUGUACUGACGCUGAGACGCGAAAGCGUGGGGAGCGAACAGG